rnacentral:rRNA from 1 species
UAGUGAUUUUCUGGUUGAUCCUGCCGGAGGUUACUGCUAUCGAGGUUCGACUAAGCCAUGCGAGUUGAAUGUAGCAAUACAUGGCGUACUGCUCAGUAACACGUGGAUAACCUACCCUUGAGACGGGGAUAAACCCGGGAAACUGGGUAUAAUACCCGAUAGAUCUCGACUGCUGGAAUGCAUCGAGCUUGAAAGCUCCGGCGCUCAAGGAUGGGUCUGCGGCCUAUCAGGUAGUAGUGGGUGUAGCGUACCUACUAGCCUACGACGGGUACGGGUUGUGAGAGCAAGAGCCCGGAGAUGGAUUCUGAGACACGAAUCCAGGCCCUACGGGGUGCAGCAGGCGCGAAAACUUUACAAUGCUGGAAACAGCGAUAAGGGGACCUCGAGUGCCAGGUUACAAAUCUGGCUGUCGUGAUGCCUAAAAAGCAUUGCAUAGCAAGGGCCGGGCAAGACCGGUGCCAGCCGCCGCGGUAACACCGGCGGCUCGAGUGGUAACCGUUAUUAUUGGGUCUAAAGGGUCUGUAGCCGGCCGGACAAGUCUCUUGGGAAAUCUGGCAGCUUAACUGUCAGGCUUUCAGGAGAUACUGUCUGGCUCGAGGCCGGGAGAGGUGAGAGGUACUUCAGGGGUAGGGGUGAAAUCUUGUAAUCCUUGAAGGACCACCAGUGGCGAAGGCGUCUCACCAGAACGGACCUGACGGCAAGGGACGAAAGCUAGGGGCACGAACCGGAUUAGAUACCCGGGUAGUCCUAGCCGUAAACGAUACUCGCUAGGUGUCCGGAACGGUGCGACCGUUGUCCGUGCCCGUAAGGAAGCGUGAAGCGAGCCACCUGGGAAGUACGGUCGCAAGACUGAAAACUUAUAGGAAUUGUCGGGGAACACAAUC